GAGUUUGAUCAUGGCUCAGAACGAACGCUGGCGGCAUGCCUAACACAUGCAAGUCGAACGAAGGCUUCGGCCUUAGUGGCGCACGGGUGCGUAACGCGUGGGAAUCUGCCCUUUGCUUCGGAAUAACAGUGGGAAACUACUGCUAAUACCGGAUGAUGUCUUCGGACCAAAGAUUUAUCGGCAAGGGAUGAGCCCGCGUAGGAUUAGGUAGUUGGUGGGGUAAAGGCCUACCAAGCCGACGAUCCUUAGCUGGUCUGAGAGGAUGAUCAGCCACACUGGGACUGAGACACGGCCCAGACUCCUACGGGAGGCAGCAGUGGGGAAUAUUGGACAAUGGGCGAAAGCCUGAUCCAGCAAUGCCGCGUGAGUGAUGAAGGCCCUAGGGUUGUAAAGCUCUUUUACCCGGGAAGAUAAUGACUGUACC
rnacentral:rRNA from 1 species